rnacentral:rRNA from 1 species
GAGUUUGAUCAUGGCUCAGGAUGAACGCUAGCGGCAGGCUUAACACAUGCAAGUCGAGGGGUAUAGGUUUUCGGACCUAGAGACCGGCGCACGGGUGCGUAACGCGUAUGUAAUCUACCUUUUACAGAGGGAUAGCCCAGAGAAAUUUGGAUUAAUACCUCAUAGUAUUAUCGGAUGGCAUCAUUUGAUAAUUAAAGUUCCAACGGUAAAAGAUGAGCAUGCGUCCCAUUAGCUAGAUGGUAAGGUAACGGCUUACCAUGGCGACGAUGGGUAGGGGUCCUGAGAGGGAGAUCCCCCACACUGGUACUGAGACACGGACCAGACUCCUACGGGAGGCAGCAGUGAGGAAUAUUGGUCAAUGGGUGCAAGCCUGAACCAGCCAUGCCGCGUGCAGGAUGACGGUCCUAUGGAUUGUAAACUGCUUUUGUACGGGAAGAAACACUCCUACGUGUAGGAGCUUGACGGUACCGUAAGAAUAAGGAUCGGCUAACUCCGUGCCAGCAGCCGCCGCGGUAAC